UACGAAGGGGGGCUAGCGUUGUUCGGAAUUACUGGGCGUAAAGCGCGCGCAGGCGGUUCUUCAAGUCAGAGGUGAAAGCCCAGAGCUCAACUCCAGAACUGCCUUUGAUACUGGCGACCUUGAGUCCGGGAGAGGUGAGUGGAACUGCGAGUGUAGAGGUGAAAUUCGUAGAUAUUCGCAAGAACACCAGUGGCGAAGGCGGCUCACUGGCCCGGUACUGACGCUGAGGUGCGAAAGCGUGGGGAGCAAACAGG
rnacentral:rRNA from 1 species